rnacentral:tRNA from 1 species
GUUUAAAUAGUUUAAUAAAAAAAUAUUGAUUUGUGGUGUCAAUGAUGUAGCCAUACUUUAAAUC